rnacentral:rRNA from 2 species
GGGUGGUAAUGCCGGAUGCUCCAGUUGAUCGCAUGGUCUUCUGGGAAAGCUUUCGCGGUAUGGGAUGGGGUCGCGUCCUAUCAGCUUGACGGCGGGGUAACGGCCCACCGUGGCUUCGACGGGUAGCCGGCCUGAGAGGGCGACCGGCCACAUUGGGACUGAGAUACGGCCCAGACUCCUACGGGAGGCAGCAGUGGGGAAUAUUGCACAAUGGGCGCAAGCCUGAUGCAGCGACGCCGCGUGAGGGAUGGAGGCCUUCGGGUUGUAAACCUCUUUUAUCGGGGAGCAAGCGAGAGUGAGUUUACCCGUUGAAUAAGCACCGGCUAACUACGUGCCAGCAGCCGCGGUAAUACGUAGGGUGCAAGCGUUAUCCGGAAUUAUUGGGCGUAAAGGGCUCGUAGGCGGUUCGUCGCGUCCGGUGUGAAAGUCCAUCGCUUAACGGUGGAUCCGCGCCGGGUACGGGCGGGCUUGAGUGCGGUAGGGGAGACUGGAAUUCCCGGUGUAACGGUGGAAUGUGUAGAUAUCGGAAAAAAACACCA